CCCUUAGAUGUUCUGGGCGGCCCGCGCACUACAUUGGCACUGGCAACAAGAUCCUAGAUCUGGUAUUUCGGGGUAUUCUACCAACUGGUGUCGUGGCUGGGAUUAACCCCUGCAAUUAUUGGUUAUGAACGAGGAAUUCCUUGUAAUCACGGUUUAUCAACCCGUGUUGAAUGCGUCCCUGCCCUUUGUACACACCGCCCGUCGCUCCUACCGAUGAAUCGUCCGGUGAAGUUCAUGGAGUCGCGGCUGCUCCAGCUGUUUUCGAAGUGAAAUGGACCUCAUGAUUUAGAGGAAGGAGAANUCGUANCA
rnacentral:rRNA from 1 species